CUAACGUAAUGGGAAGCUGUGUAAGGCGGAUACUCUACGAAAAGAUUCGGCAAAAAUAUUUUUUUGUUAAAAUAUCGGAAAAUAUUCAGCGUGAAAUAUUGAAAAAAUAGAAAGAACUACGAGCCAAAUUGUUGCCUACAAAAAACUUGGGUACGAGAGUGUACGAGGUAAUUACGCAAUGGAAAAUGGAGUUAAUGAAGUGACGGAACACAUUAUUUUGGUUUAUCUCGAUGAAAGGGCCAGAGAAAACAUUAAUAUUGAAGUAUGUGGGCUAUUGUUCCUUAUUUGAAGAAUCUGAAUGUUGGCUGCUGUUCAAAAAAAUCUAAGGUGCUCACUCCGCGAGAAAUCGAAACACUUUUGGAAAAAGCUGAAGAUAAAGAGUAUGUGUUUGUGAGGGUCGCUUAACCUUCUUGAAACGGUAAGUCGUUGAAUCAUAUAUUGAAGACUCUAUUGAGGAAAAGAUCAGGGCUGUCCCAAAAAUAUUGGGGAGCGGAAGUACUAAGGAGAAUCCUGCAUAUUAUGAUGUAGAACUGGGACUCUUCUUGCUCUCCGUCACAAAAUAGUGGAAAUUUGUAGCGGGUGUUCAAUUGGAAAAUCCCUUAGAGAAGGCGUUGGAAUAUCAUUUGACACAAACGGCAUGUCUGUUCUUAUAACAUCGAUUGGUACAAACAUAACCUGUUGUGUACUAUGUCAUAAGAACAGACAUGCCGUUUGUGUCAAAAGAUAUUCCAACGUCUACUCGAGUGAUUUUUCAAUUGAACACCCGUUAUUUUUAUAACUGAACCUUUAAUUUUAAUGUAAAAGAUAAA